CCCAGCUGCUCGCUCCUAAAAGUGGGCCUCAUUUAAAACUCCGCGCUGGCGGCCAACGUCACCCGCACCUGCGCAGUUUCACCUUCCUCCUCAGGUUCUGUCCAGGUAGGUCCGACGGUCUCGGCCUACCUCCAACGGCUGAUCCUCCGAUCUCCAGUCGCCUGUCGACCUCGAACACUCCUUGCUCCCGCUCUUAAAAGUGGGCCUCUUUUUAAACUCCGUGCUUGCUGCUGACGUCACUCGCGCCAGCACAGUUUUACCUUCCUCCUCAGGUACUGUCCAGGUGAUUGAACCACUUUCACAGUAACUGAUGGAACAGAAGAAGAAAGGUUGAAUAUAUACGCCCUUGUAAAAACAUGAACAGUCUUCACUAUUUACACAGAAUCCAUUUUCAUUCAUGUACUUGCCCUCAGGACAGCCACAGCCAUAAACUGGAGUAUCCUUCACAUUACAGUCACCCAACUUCUUUCAAAGCAACGAAACAGACUGCAAAUUACUGAACAUGGGGUUCUGAUACACUUUCUGAAUGACAUUCAGCCUGAUGUUGAGAAGCUGAUAUCACUGCACCAAGCCCAUCCAUCUCAAUGAAAGAUAUGAGUGAAUUUCAAGAUACACUUGCAUCCGGAAUUUGGAGCUCUUGCUUUUUUUAUGGGUAUCUAGAGGAAAAGAAAAAAUACCCUUGCUAUAAGAGUUGAAAAUUACAAGCAAUCUAAAUGUAACUGGUGGAUCAAGCACACUGAACAUAAUGUACUUACGAUGGUUUUCUCUUCCCUUUUGGACACUAUCUGCUGAGCGCCUGAACAUUUGGAUUAUGCAUUGCAUUGAACUGCUGCUGCUAAGUUAACAAAUUUCACAUCACACGCCAGUGACAAUAUACCUGAUUGUGAUUCUGAUUAUUGUCUGGAGGAAGUGGAAACUGGAGGACCAUAAGUCAGUCCUCAUUAGAGGAUCAGAAGUGGAGAGGAUCUUGGCGUUAUCAUUUCAGAGGAUCUGCCUGGAAUCAGCAUAUACAGAAAUUCCAUUCAAUGCGAUACAAAUGCCACACAUUUCCUUGAAAACAAUAAUCAAAUAUCUACAGCCCUCCAAGAUGGAAUUUUCAAAGCUUCAGCAUGUUUCAAACAAAGAACAUUAUCUUGCCUAAAUCCCAGGUAGCCACAAAGCAAGAAACGCAAAAGAACCCAAUUUCAAGAAAAAAAAGAAUAAAAAUAAAAAUAGAAGACAAACACUCAAUGCGCAAAAGAAAGUAAAAAAUUACAAGUCAUGCAAGAAAUUGAAGUGAACAACAGCAUUCUGAACAAAAAGCGAGUCUAUAGAUCUGAACCACAAAGCAGCCUGGAGUAGGCCCAAAGCCUCGCUUUCAGUUCAUCACACUAGCGGGCAUACAGCACCGCAGCCACAGCAGUCUUCAUUGCCUCAGCGCCAUGGAGAAAGGAGAGGCCAUUGCGGAGAAUGAGUGAAAUCAGCUCUCAUCCCAAGCAACACCCGAUGCUUUCCAGUGACUCGCUUCAAGCCCAGAUUUCGACGCCCAGCCCGAAGCCACUCUCAAGCUCUACAGAUCAGCUCAGAGCCCAAUAUGAUCCAAUUUCACACAUGAGACAGUUGUACAGACAUUGGAACCCCAUCUGCAUUGAUUCAUCCCAGACAUUCCACUCUGCAAAUACUCAUUUCAGGGAGGUAGCACCACCACCCCCGCACCCCCCCAACCCAAUAGCCAUACCAACCCCCUCUCCCGGUUGACCUCCAAGGUUGUAUGUAUACAGGAAAUUUGAUUAUGAAAGAACACACAAUAUAUUUGAUCACAUAUUGAAACUAUUUACACAAAAAUAUUCCUUGUUGAGUAUUUUGUUGGCAGUCUCAAUGCUAAUAGCUAAAUGCUAAUGCAAAUAGCUUUUCUAUUUCUUUUUCAAACUUUCCUUGUACUGUGAUGUGGCUUGCUUGGUAGAACCAUAAACAGUGCUGGUUAUUAGAAAUGUAGGGCUGGGCUGUUGACCACGACCCCAACCUCCCAGAAUCUCACACUGCACCUACCUAAGGGGUCAGCCAUCCUUGACAACCCCAGAGUCAGUAACAAGGUCUAAAAGUCCUGGUGGUGGUCGUUGCCGCUGCCUGGAGCGGUGCCCAGCGCCAGUGCAGGGGAAGGGGCUCAGGAUGUUCACUCCUGGGGCCCCAGCCAGGUACAGCUGCAUUGGCUCUCGAGACUGGGACGCAGCAAUGCACAAACAGCACCACGUGCUGCCUGUACCCAGGCCAGCAGAAGUGUUAAUGCAGCUUGCCCAGUGUCUUUGCCAUCCCAAAAAUGGCUGGCACCCUGCAGCCCCCCCCCACCCCCCCCCCCCACACACACACACACACACACACACACACACACACACACACACUAUAUAUAUACUCCUUGUUGAGUAUUUUGUUGGCAGUCUCAAUGCUAAUAACUAAAUGCUAAUGCAGACUGAUGGACAAUGAAAGAGAGAUAGAGGUUGAUUGUAAUGCCCGCCCACAGAGAAAACUGAUAGGUCUACUUAGCACAAAGAGGGAGCAAUCACUCUCUUGCUAUGUCUGUCACUUGCACUCUCUGUCUCUCUAACUCUCUCUCUCCCCCCCCCCCCCCACCAUCUCCCUCUUCCUCUCACUCACUCGCUCUCAAAAAAAUCAAUUUCCGGAAUAUUGUAUAUAAUUUGCGGGCAUCAGGAAGCCGCUAUCAUUAUGUGGGAGACUCCUGGAACUUCUGGGAGAGGUGGGAUGUCUGUCAUCCCCUGAACUCACUUUGUCAUCAUUCGCUCUUUCACUGUUUGCAAAUAUAAUUUAACACAAUUUUCCUGGGAAAAAGGUAUUUUUAGUGAUGUUUUUACUCAGAUGUCUUAACUAUUUGACUACCAGGAAGUUGUCGCACACGUUCAGUAGUGCCAUCUUAACUGGAAGGGUUAACAUUCUCUCCAUAUAGGCCUUUCAAUAUUCAAUACGAUACAACAUGAUCCUCCCUCAUUCUACUAAACUCAAAGUUCAAAGUAAAUUUAUUAUCAAAGUCCAUCCAUUAUAUGUCACCAUAUAAAACUCUGAGAUUCAUUUUCUUGCAGGCAUACUCAAUACAUCAAAUAACCAUAACAGAAUCAACUGCAUCAACAAGGUGGAAAAUCAAUGUGCAAAAGGCAUCAAACUCUGCAAAUACAAAAAGAAAGAGAAAGGAUAAUAAAUCAGUAAACAAUAAAUGUUGAGAACAUGAGAUGAGUCCUUGAAAACAAGUCAAUAGGUAGUGGAAACAUUUCAGUGGUGGAGCAAGUGAAGUUGAGUGAAGUUAAUCCCACUGGUUCAAGAACCCGAUGGUUGAGGGUUAUUAACUAUGUGGUGGUGAGUCCUGAGGCUCCCACACUUUCUUCCCAAUGUCAACAAUGAGAAGAAAGCAUUACCUGGGUGAUUGAGGUCCCAGAUGAUGGAUGUUUCUUUCCAAAAUGCAGUCUGGGUAUAGAACUAUACGUAUUAUAGCAGUGGCUAGUGUGUUGAAAUUCUGGUGCUACAAAUGUGAUUGAAAUCCACAACUAUGAUAUAAAAUGUUAUCAGGGCAAAAUGUUUCUUAUUUAGUGAUGGCAUCAUAAAGUACCUUAAGCGUUUAAUUAUAGUUGGCCCCUAGAGGUAAACUCCAGCAAGUUUGAGCACAAGCCAUCAAACGGUCCUCAUACAUUAGCCCUUUCAUUCCCAAGAUUAUUCUCAUGAACAUCCUUUGGACCUUCUCCAAUGCCACCACAUCCUUUCUUGGAUUUGCAUGCCAAAACUUCUCACAAUACUUCAAGUGCUGUCUGACUUGAAUGUCUUGACUGUCAAAUGUCUUAUAUAGCCUCAGCAUUACAUCCUUGCAUUUAUGAUGUACUUCUCUUGAAAUGAAUGCAAACAUUGCAUUUGUCUUCCUUACCAUUGGCUCAACCUGCAAGUACAAGAAGCAGUGCCUCAAAAAGGUGGCAUCCAUCAUUAAGGACCCCCAUCACUCAGGACAUGCUCUCUUCUCAGGAAGGAGGUACAGAAGACUGAAGACACACACCCUAUGAUUCAUAAACACCUUCUUCCCCUCUACUAUAUGAUUUCUGAAUGGACAUUAAACCCAGGAACACUACCUCA